UUAGCCUACAUGGUAUUCCCAACGAGGCACAAUGCAACACCUCCACACCAGCUCAUUUUAACUAAAUUCACGGUUUGACUUGAAGACAUGGAAGUGAAUAAGAUAGGUUUCUCUCUGAAAGCUACUUACUUGGUCAGCAAGUAGGCCCACAAGGAGAGACGCGGAAAGUACUCGAUGGUGGGAAUGAGGAGGAAAGACAUCGGACUGGGCGUGCCGCUGCAAGUCCGGAGUUGAGAUUGCAUCUCACCCCACCCGCUCGCUCACCUAGGGGUGAUCCACAGAAUUGUUGUGUAAAUCAUUCACGGUCAUUUGUUAUUCGCCCAAUAACCUCAUUGAGACGUAUAUCAGGUGACAGCGAUGUAAUUCCUUGAUAUAGCAAAUUCCUAUAGGUUGUUUUACUUUCACUGGAUUUUUUUUUUUUAAGUGUUGGCUUUGUAUGAGGUUGUUGGAACCCAGCUAUGGAUUUUGGAGAAACGCUGGACACGCCUGCACCUUGUAUUUUGGACAAAGUUCAAGGUUGCUGCAUAAUUUUUCUCCAAAAUGCAUGAGUGAUUGUUUUUGGAUAACGGUACCGUCCGUUUCAAUUCACUGGAGUGUGUUUCUAACAAUUGUAUGUUUUCUUUGAUUUUGGGGGAGAACGGACAACACGUUUCAAAGAACGUUGUGCCAGGAACCAUUGGAUAAAUGUGAUCAGCAUGUUAGUCAAGGACAUUUUGCACUGCAACCGAGGUGCGAAGAGGCAUUGCUACCCAGCACAGAUGAAACCGAAUCGAUUGACUAAAACCCCCUUAUAGUAGUAACUUUACACUAUUAUAUCUUUGUUAUUCCUGUGCGUUUUCCAGCGUGUGUUUGCUAUACCUGUGGCCGGUGGUGGUACCUGAAGCUUGUCUCCUGUCUGGGUGUGCGUCUUUUCGCGUUCAGAAAUUUCCCUGCGCUGCCCGACUGGCGUUGCUAUAGAGCAACCCUACGCCGUCUCUGUAUCACCCCGGGCAGGAACGGAUCCAUCCGUGUGGGGACAGAAGUGCAAAGUUGGACGCUAAUCGCCAGGCACCGUGCGUUCGAGAGCGGGAUCUUUCGACUUUGAGGGACUGGAGAGAGGGCUCAAACCAAAAAGGCAGAUUGGCAGGUGGCCCGAGCUGAGCCAAUGACAGGCGGAGAGGAGCCUUAACGUCGGGCAGGCUUGAGUCCAGCCAAAGUAGGCUGUCAACAUAGAACAGAGUGGAGGCUACCCACACACACAUACACGGAUGAGAGCUCAGGCCACCGGCUUGUGGAUGACGCCAAGUGGCGGCUUCCCCUCCAUGUCUAUAAGUCUGGCAGUAACCCAGAGCUAUCAGAGACUGCAGCUGCUGACAACAACUGCAUUCAAGCAGGUAGCCCAGCGGCUAAGGAGUUGCGCCUGUGGCAGGAGUUGGACCUGUGGCCGAAAGGUGACCGGGUUUGAAUCCCGGGCUGGGUGCUGUAAAAGAAUGGGAGGAAUUUAUCUGACAACUGGAGGCUGCUGGGUUCACAUCCUCAAAACAUUCCCCUACUGUUGGGCCCUUGAGCAAGGCCCUUAACCCCACAACAUGCUUUCUGUCCAGGGGCGCUGCAUGCAGCUUGAACCUGUGCUGUUUCAACUGUGUGUUUGGAGGGUGGAGGGGGAGGGGUUGAGAAUGGAGCAGAAGACACAUUUUUGUUGUUCACUGUAACUAAUGGACAAAGUAUAUUGUAUUGCAAAGAAGUCAGCCAGAGUUGACAUGGGCCGUUAUUCAAACAAAGAGAUACCUUCCUGUCCACCAGUGCAUAUUUCCAAACUAUGUUUGCAUAUAAUGACAAUAAAUUCUAAAAACUA